AACAGGAUUAGAUACCCUGGUAGUCCACACAGUAAACGAUGAAUACUCGCUGUUUGCGAUAUACAGUAAGCGGCCAAGCGAAAGCGUUAAGUAUUCCACCUGGGGAGUACGCCGGCAACGGUGAAACUCAAAGGAAUUGACGGGGGCCCGCACAAGCGGAGGAACAUGUGGUUUAAUUCGAUGAUACGCGAGGAACCUUACCCGGGCUUGAAUUGCAACUGAAUGAUGUGGAGACAUGUCAGCCGCAAGGCAGUUGUGAAGGUGCUGCAUGGUUGUCGUCAGCUCGUGCCGUGAGGUGUCGGCUUAAGUGCCAUAACGAGCGCAACCCUUAUCGAUAGUUACCAUCAGGUUAUGCUGGGGACUCUGUCGAGACUGCCGUCGUAAGAUGUGAGGAAGGUGGGGAUGACGUCAAAUCAGCACGGCCCUUACGUCCGGGGCUACACACGUGUUACAAUGGGGGGUACAGAAGGCAGCUACACGGCGACGUGAUGCUAAUCCCUAAAGCCUCUCUCAGUUCGGAUUGGAGUCUGCAACCCGACUCCAUGAAGCUGGAUUCGCUAGUAAUCGCGCAUCAGCCACGGCGCGGUGAAUACGUUCCCGGGCCUUGUACACACCGCCCGUCAAGCCAUGAAAGCCGGGGGUACCUGAAGUGCGUAACCGCGAGGAGCGCCCUAGGGUAAAACUGGUGAUUGGGGGCUAAGUCGUAACAAGGUAACC
rnacentral:rRNA from 1 species